rnacentral:sRNA from 1 species
AGCGAGUAUUACCAUGGUAACCCCUUACAUGAGUGGGUUCAACCAUUACUGGCUCUCAUAUUGUACUGAUCCCAUACGGUAAAUAGAAAUAUCAUCACAGCACA